AUUGAACGCUGGCGGCAUGCCUUACACAUGCAAGUCGAACGGUAACAGGUCUUCGGAUGCUGACGAGUGGCGAACGGGUGAGUAAUACAUCGGAACGUGCCCGAGAGUGGGGGAUAACGAGGCGAAAGCUUUGCUAAUACCGCAUACGAUCUCAGGAUGAAAGCAGGGGACCGCAAGGCCUUGCGCUCACGGAGCGGCCGAUGGCAGAUUAGGUAGUGGGUGGGAUAAAAGCUUACCAAGCCGACGAUCUGUAGCUGGUCUGAGAGGACGACCAGCCACACUGGGACUGAGACACGGCCCAGACUCCUACGGGAGGCAGCAGUGGGGAAUUUUGGACAAUGGGCGCAAGCCUGAUCCAGCCAUGCCGCGUGCAGGAUGAAGGCCUUCGGGUUGUAAACUGCUUUUGUACGGAACGAAAAGACUCCUUCUAAUAAAGGGGGUCCAUGACGGUGCCGUAAGAAUAAGCACCGGCUAACUACGUGCCAGCCGCCGCGGUAACAC
rnacentral:rRNA from 1 species